rnacentral:rRNA from 1 species
AACGAACGCUGGCGGCAGGCCUAACACAUGCAAGUCGAACGCCCGUAGCAAUACGGGAGUGGCAGACGGGUGAGUAACGCGUGGGAACGUGCCCUUCGGUUCGGAAUAACUCAGGGAAACUUGAGCUAAUACCGGAUACGUCCGUAAGGAGAAAGAUUUAUCGCCGAAGGAUCGGCCCGCGUCGGAUUAGCUAGUUGGUGAGGUAACGGCCCACCAAGGCGACGAUCCGUAGCUGGUCUGAGAGGANGAUCAGCCACACUGGGACUGAGACACGGCCCAGACUCCUACGGGAGGCAGCAGUGGGGAAUAUUGGACAAUGGGCGAAAGCCUGAUCCAGCCAUGCCGCGUGAGUGAAGAAGGCCUUAGGGUUGUAAAGCUCUUUCAGCGGGAAGAUAAUGACGGUACCCGCAGAAGAAGCCCCGGCUAACUUCGUGCCAGCAGCCGCCGUAAU